rnacentral:lncRNA from 1 species
GUUCCAUCAAGUAGGAAUGUCCUCUUCCUCUAGCAUCAAUCUGUUGGUGCGAGAUAUCGACCGAUGCUGGAGGAGCUGGAGCAGACGGUUGAGAUCACUCUUCCAAGGGUGAGAUCUAUAAGAAAAGUUCCAACUGGAGGUGGCUCUGGUGGGGAUCCUCUGAUGCUCAAGUCAGUAUCUCAUUCAAUAGAAGGAGGGACGUGAGAGG